rnacentral:pre_miRNA from 1 species
AGCCUUCUGAAUCCGUGCCGAGAUUUCGUCAGACACCAGAUCAUCAGUACUGAAGAGACUCAAAAUAAAUGAAACG